AAAAUUGAUUUUCAUUCACGCUUUCUCUCUCUCUCGCUUUAUUCACCAUAACCUAGCGAUCCUCGGCCUCCAUUAAAGAGACAGAGUUGGUGAGAAGCGGAGGAGAUCGAGCUUCAUUGACGACGUGGCCGAGGAGAAUGACGAGGAGGAAGAGGACGACGACGACGUUGAUGAAUACGGUCCCUAUCGUGGCGGCGGCAGUGGGAGUCGUCAGCAAAGCACAAGAGGCCCUCAAGUGGAUUUUCUCGAUCUCGAAGCGGUAGUCGAUUCAGAUGAGGAGCAAGAGGAGGAUGAGGACGAGGACGGUGAACAAGACAAGCAGCAGAUCACACAGACAUAUCAUAAGACAUGGCCACUCCCACUGCCACUACCACCCAGAUUGUUGAGAAAUUAAUUGAAACUGAAUGUACACCCAAAAUGUGGUUUCUUCUCUGCAACUUUCAGAGACACUUCCAUUCUCCUUCCCUUGUGUCAGCUCCCUCCAGAGUCUAUCUAACUUGACAAAUUUGAGUUUUAGAAGAAAUGGUGCAAUUACUUCUCAUGGAAUGAGUGCCUUUGCUAAUUUAUUUGGCUUGAUCAAGUUGGACUUGGAGAGAUGCCCAGGGAUCCAUGGUGGACUUGUUCAUCUUCAAGGUUAUUGAGGAUAUGUCUCUAUUUUGCUUGUGGGGCUGUUCAAAAGCACAAGUCAUGGAUCAGUGAAUGAAGAAGAAGCUGAUAGGAUUGUUCCUGGGCAACCCAAGGUCUCCUUCCAACUGUUUUUGGGUGUAACUCUUAAUUUCAACAAGAAACUUGGUAGUUUUAGGUAUUUUGAUGCUUGUAAUUUUGCAAAACCUUUGGUUGGUCUUACAAAGUUACAAUUGUGAUUGUUGGUUUGUAAUUGAAAUUAGUUCAUAUGCUAUUUUAACAUUUUCACCUUAUAAUUUUUGCAGUA